rnacentral:rRNA from 1 species
UACAGAGGGGGCUAGCGUUGUUCGGAAUUACUGGGCGUAAAGGGCGCGUAGGCGGCCCGCUAAGUCGAACGUGAAAUCCCCAGGCUUAACCUGGGAACUGCGUCCGAUACUGGCAGGCUUGAAUCCGGGAGAGGGAUGUGGAAUUCCAGGUGUAGCGGUGAAAUGCGUAGAUAUCUGGAGGAACACCGGUGGCGAAGGCGGCAUCCUGGACCGGUAUUGACGCUGAGGCGCGAAAGCUAGGGGAGCAAACAGG